CAGUCGCCACGGUAAUACGUAGGUGGCAAGCGUUGUCCGGAAUUAUUGGGCGUAAAGGGCUCGCAGGCGGUUUCUUAAGUCUGAUGUGAAAGCCCCCAGCUCAACCGGGGAGGGUCAUUGGAAACUGGGAAACUUGAGUGCAGAAGAGGAGAGUGGAAUUCCACGUGUAGCGGUGAAAUGCGUAGAGAUGUGGAGGAACACCAGUGGCGAAGGCGACUCUCUGGUCUGUAACCGACGCUGAGGAGCGAAAGCGUGGGGAGCGAACAGGAUUAGAUACCCGCGUAGUCCCUGUCUCUUAUAC
rnacentral:rRNA from 1 species